rnacentral:rRNA from 1 species
GACGAACGCUGGCGGCGCGCCUAACACAUGCAAGUCGAACGAGCGAGAGAGAGUUUGCUUUCUCAAGCGAGUGGCGAACGGGUGAGUAACGCGUGAGGAACCUGCCUCAAAGAGGGGGACAACAGCUGGAAACGAGUGCUAAUACCGCAUAAGCCCACAGGUCGGCAUCGAUCGGAGGGAAAAGGAGCAAUCCGCUUUGAGAGGGCCUCGCGUCCGAUUAGCUAGUUGGUGAGGUAUCGGCCCACAAAGGCAACGAUCGGUAGCCGGACGGAGAGGUUGAACGGCCACAUUGGGACUGAGACACGGCCCAGACUCCUACGGGAGGCAGCAGUGGGGAAUAUUGCACAAUGGGGGAAACCCUGAUGCAGCGAGGCCGCGGGGAGGAAGAAGGUCUUCGGAUUGUAAACUCCUGUUGAUGAGGAGGAUAAUGACGUAACUCAACAAGAAAGUGACGGCAAACUACGU